AGUGAACGCUGGCGGUAGGCCUAACACAUGCAAGUCGAACGGCAGCACAGUAAGAGCUUGCUCUUACGGGUGGCGAGUGGCGGACGGGUGAGGAAUACAUCGGAAUCUACUUUUUCGUGGGGGAUAACGUAGGGAAACUUACGCUAAUACCGCAUACGACCUACGGGUGAAAGCAGGGGAUCUACGGACCUUGCGCGAUUGAAUGAGCCGAUGUCGGAUUAGCUAGUUGGCGGGGUAAAGGCCCACCAAGGCGACGAUCCGUAGCUGGCCUGAGAGGAUGAUCAGCCACACUGGAACUGAGACACGGUCCAGACUCCUACGGGAGGCAGCAGUGGGGAAUAUUGGACAAUGGGCGCAAGCCUGAUCCAGCCAUACCGCGUGGGUGAAGAAGGCCUUCGGGUUGUAAAGCCCUUUUGUUGGGAAAGAAAAGCAGCAGGUUAAUACCCCGCUGUUCUGACGGUACCCAAAGAAUAAGCACCGGCUAACUUCGUG
rnacentral:rRNA from 1 species